rnacentral:snoRNA from 1 species
AUUCCAUGGUGAGGGCAAUUUUUGAUCAUCAUAUUGAAACGCUCAAAAGCCUCAUGAAACAUUUCAUCAUGUUGUUGUUGGAAACUCCUCAACCCUUUUCUAGCAU